UCAAGUGAAGAAGCGCAUACGGUGGAUGCCUUGGCAGUCAGAGGCGAUGAAAGACGUGGUAGCCUGCGAAAAGCUUCGGGGAGUCGGCAAACAGACUUUGAUCCGGAGAUCUCUGAAUGGGGGAACCCACCUAGGAUAACCUAGGUAUCUUGUACUGAAUCCAUAGGUGCAAGAGGCGAACCAGGGGAACUGAAACAUCUAAGUACCCUGAGGAAAAGAAAUCAACCGAGAUUCCCUUAGUAGUGGCGAGCGAACGGGGAUUAGCCCUUAAGCUUCAUUGAUUUUAGCGGAACGCUCUGGAAAGUGCGGCCAUAGUGGGUGAUAGCCCCGUACGCGAAAGGAUCUUUGAAGUGAAAUCGAGUAGGACGGAGCACGAGAAACUUUGUCUGAACAUGGGGGGACCAUCCUCCAAGGCUAAAUACUACUGACUGACCGAUAGUGAACCAGUACCGUGAGGGAAAGGCGAAAAGAACCCCGGAGAGGGGAGUGAAAUAGAACCUGAAACCGUAUGCGUACAAGCAGUGGGAGCCUACUUGUUAGGUGACUGCGUACCUUUUGUAUAAUGGGUCAGCGACUUAUAUUCAGUGGCAAGCUUAACCGUAUAGGGUAGGCGUAGCGAAAGCGAGUCUUAAUAGGGCGUUUAGUCGCUGGGUAUAGACCCGAAACCGGGCGAUCUAUCCAUGAGCAGGUUGAAGGUUAGGUAACACUGACUGGAGGACCGAACCCACUCCCGUUGAAAAGGUAGGGGAUGACUUGUGGAUCGGAGUGAAAGGCUAAUCAAGCUCGGAGAUAGCUGGUUCUCCUCGAAAGCUAUUUAGGUAGCGCCUCAUGUAUCACUCUGGGGGGUAGAGCACUGUUUCGGCUAGGGGGUCAUCCCGACUUACCAAACCGAUGCAAACUCCGAAUACCCAGAAGUGCCGAGCAUGGGAGACACACGGCGGGUGCUAACGUCCGUCGUGAAAAGGGAAACAACCCAGACCGCCAGCUAAGGUCCCAAAGUUGUGGUUAAGUGGUAAACGAUGUGGGAAGGCUUAGACAGCUAGGAGGUUGGCUUAGAAGCAGCCAUCCUUUAAAGAAAGCGUAAUAGCUCACUAGUCGAGUCGGCCUGCGCGGAAGAUGUAACGGGGCUCAAACCACACACCGAAGCUGCGGGUGUCACGUAAGUGACGCGGUAGAGGAGCGUUCUGUAAGCCUGUGAAGGUGAGUUGAGAAGCUUGCUGGAGGUAUCAGAAGUGCGAAUGCUGACAUGAGUAACGACAAUGGGUGUGAAAAACACCCACGCCGAAAGACCAAGGGUUCCUGCGCAACGUUAAUCGACGCAGGGUUAGUCGGUUCCUAAGGCGAGGCUGAAAAGCGUAGUCGAUGGGAAACAGGUUAAUAUUCCUGUACUUCUGGUUACUGCGAUGGAGGGACGGAGAAGGCUAGGCCAGCUUGGCGUUGGUUGUCCAAGUUUAAGGUGGUAGGCUGAAAUCUUAGGUAAAUCCGGGGUUUCAAGGCCGAGAGCUGAUGACGAGUCGUCUUUUAGAUGACGAAGUGGUUGAUGCCAUGCUUCCAAGAAAAGCUUCUAAGCUUCAGGUAAUCAGGAACCGUACCCCAAACCGACACAGGUGGUCGGGUAGAGAAUACCAAGGCGCUUGAGAGAACUCGGGUGAAGGAACUAGGCAAAAUGGCACCGUAACUUCGGGAGAAGGUGCGCCGGCUAGGGUGAAGGAUUUACUCCGUAAGCUCAGGCUGGUCGAAGAUACCAGGCCGCUGCGACUGUUUAUUAAAAACACAGCACUCUGCAAACACGAAAGUGGACGUAUAGGGUGUGACGCCUGCCCGGUGCCGGAAGGUUAAUUGAUGGGGUUAGCGCAAGCGAAGCUCUUGAUCGAAGCCCCGGUAAACGGCGGCCGUAACUAUAACGGUCCUAAGGUAGCGAAAUUCCUUGUCGGGUAAGUUCCGACCUGCACGAAUGGCGUAACGAUGGCGGCGCUGUCUCCACCCGAGACUCAGUGAAAUUGAAAUCGCUGUGAAGAUGCAGUGUAUCCGCGGCUAGACGGAAAGACCCCGUGAACCUUUACUGUAGCUUUGCACUGGACUUUGAGCCUGCUUGUGUAGGAUAGGUGGGAGGCUUUGAAGCGUGGACGCCAGUUCGCGUGGAGCCAUCCUUGAAAUACCACCCUGGCAUGCUUGAGGUUCUAACUCUGGUCCGUGAUCCGGAUCGAGGACAGUGUAUGGUGGGCAGUUUGACUGGGGCGGUCUCCUCCUAAAGAGUAACGGAGGAGUACGAAGGUGCGCUCAGACCGGUCGGAAAUCGGUCGCAGAGUAUAAAGGCAAAAGCGCGCUUGACUGCGAGACAGACACGUCGAGCAGGUACGAAAGUAGGUCUUAGUGAUCCGGUGGUUCUGUAUGGAAGGGCCAUCGCUCAACGGAUAAAAGGUACUCCGGGGAUAACAGGCUGAUACCGCCCAAGAGUUCAUAUCGACGGCGGUGUUUGGCACCUCGAUGUCGGCUCAUCACAUCCUGCCCCAGG
rnacentral:rRNA from 1 species